rnacentral:rRNA from 1 species
GAGUUUGAUCAUGGCUCAGGCUGCCCACUGGCGGCGUGCCUAAUACAUGCAAGUCCAGCGGUAAGGCCCUUCGGGGUACACGAGCGGCGGACGGCUGAGUAGCGCGUAAGAACGUACCCCAAAGUGAGGCAUAAGCACCAGAAAUGGUGUCUAAUACCGCAUGUGGUCUUCGGAUUAAAGCCUUCGGGCGCUUUGGGAGCGGCCUGCGUAUGAUUAGCUUGUUGGUGAGGUAAUGGCUCACCAAGGCGACGAUCAUUAGCUGGUCUGAGAGGAUGAUCAGCCAGACUGGGACUGAGACACGGCCCAGACUCCUACGGGAGGCAGCAGUAGGGAAUUUUCCACAAUGGACGAAAGUCUGAUGGAGCACCGCCGCGUGCAGGAUGAAUGCCUUCGGGUUGCAAACUGCUUUUAUAUGUGACGAUUAUGACGGUAGCAUAUGAAUAAGGAUCGGCUAACUCCGUGCCAGCAGCCGCGGUCAUACGGAGGAUCCAAGCGUUAUCCGGAAUUACCUGGGCGCAAAGAGUUGCGUACGCGGCAUAGUAAAGCAGCGUGUGAAAUGAUGGGGCUCCAACCUCAUGUCCAAUACCGCUGAACCUGCUAAGCUAGAGCAUUGAUAAGAGGGUAGCCUGGAAUUUUCUAGGUGUAGGAGUUGGGAAUCCCGUAAAAUAUUUAAAAAGGAACCACCGAUGGCGUUAGGCAGGGCUAACU